AGGUAAAGGGAACCUCAUGUGUAGUACCAUAGAAGUGGCAGAAUGAGUGGGGAUUAUGCAGACUGCAAGAAAAUCAUACGGAGUCCAGAGAGAUUAGUUUAGGUAAUCAGAGGCCAGAUGAUGAAGCAUUUCAUGCAGAAAAGAUCAGGCAUUUUCCACUGGAUAAAGGGAAACAAUAAUAGGUUUAAGCUGGAAAGUGACUGUUGUGGAUAGAUUUUGGCACCAUGAGGUAGGAAUGCUGCUGUAACAAAUGCCAAAAAAAAAAAAAAAAAGUGGUUAUGGCUUUGGAACUGGGUGAUGGGUAGAGGCUGGAGGAGUUUUGAGGUGUAUGUAUGAAAAAGCCUAUGGACUUCCCUGAUGGAACUUUUAAGCAAAAACGAACCAGAUCUUGAAGAUUUGGAAAAUUCUCAGCCUAUUCACGUUGCAAAAAAUGAGAAAAUGUGCUGUGGAGAGAACACCAAGAGUGUGGCUGGACAGUCACUCCAUAAAGAGAUUACCAAUGAGUUUAAUCAGCCAUCUCAGCUGGAGCCAGGAAGAGAGAUGAGAUUAUAGCAGCAGAAAAAGUGCCAGCUGGGACUAAAGGGGGACAGAAAAUAGGAUAGAGUGAAGUCUGUUUUACUUCUAAGAUCUCACAGGACAGACAGGUCAACAGAGCUAUCUGAAUUUGGACAUGCAUUAUCCCUCAAGAAAAGGGCGGAGUGAGGAUCUAGUUUGAGAUGGCAACAUAGAAGAAUCCUGAACUCAUCACUUUCUCCCGCAGACACAAUGAAUCUACAGCUACAUACAGAAUAAUUCCCUCUGAAAGAAAUCCAAAAAUUAGUUGAGGAACUCCCAUGUAUUGGGUAAACAAGGAAAAUAUCCCCAUCAAAACAGGUAGGAGAUAGAGGGGUGGGAUAGGGAGGGGGGUGGGAUAGGGAGGGGGGAUGGGAGGGAGACACAAGAGGGAAGAGAUAUGGGGAUAUAUGUAUAUGUAUAGCUGAUUCACUUCAUUGUAAAGCAGAAACUAACACACCAUUGUAAAGCAAUUAUACUCCAAUAAAGAUGUUAAAUAAAUAAAUAAAAUUUAAAAAACCAAACCGGUAGGGAAAGGCUGAGAGGCAAUCUUACCAUAAACCCCACCCUUGGCACGGCAACCUACAAUUAGGAGGAAACUCACAACUCUGAGCUUCUCCCUGAGGAGCAAAGGAUUUGAACCCCACAUCUGGAACCGCAACUUUUAAGACCUGUACCUGAGAUGAGCCACCAAAAUCCCUGGCUUUGAAAGCCAAUAGUAUUUGCAUCCACAAGACCCACAGGAUAGGACAAACUGAGAAACAGUUCUUAAAGGGCUCCAGCAGACUCACCUGGCUAUCCCCCCAGGGCCCAGCACAGAGGCAGCCUAAUUGAGACAGGAGGGAAAGGGGUAGGACACAAAUGCUAGAUAAUGAAGAAGGGGCACGGCUGUUGGGAUGUGAUAAAGACUAUCUGGAACCAGCUGAAACCAAGAUGGCUUUGAGAAUAGUCCGGUCAUUGACCUUUAGCUCAUUAUACCUUCAUUGUAAAACUAAAAACCACUCCCUCUUAUGCCAGCUCCGAGGAGGACCGUAAAAGACCAAAACGUGAACAGUGGCCCAAUUCCUGGGAUAUCCCCACCCUACACCAAAAUAGCAAAAAUAUUCCUCCCACUCAUUAGCCUACGAAAUUACUUAACCCAUAAAAAUCUGCAACCCCAUGCCCAAGGGCCACUCUCACUUUCUGAGACAGUCUACAUUCUGCCUAUGGAAUGUGUAUCUCUCUAAAUAAACCUGCUUUCCCUUUACUCUGACUUGCUCUUGAAUUCUUUCCUGUGUGAAGCCAAGGGCUCUCACUUUGUGGUCUGUCCUAAGGACUCCUGCAGGUCCCAGGUCAUGACAUUUCCCUCUCCUGCAACAUAAUGAUUACCCAACUAUCUAUGAAGAAAUGAAUUUGCAAAGUUUUAGCCUGAGGAGCAGGCUAAUUUAACACACAUCUAGGUGCCUACUGAAAUACUCUCCAAAAACCACAGAGGCCAGCAGGUGCCAUCUCUGCAUUCUUCCUCCAUCUUGCUCCAGGUCACCAGUAUCUCCUGGAAAGGAGUUUAUGCACAUGCCUGGGACCCCAGUUUUUGUGGGUACCACCCAGGGCACAUCCCUUGGUUGCCUGGCUCUGGUGACCAGCAGGGCUUAUGUUCCCAGGUCCCACAGGACUGUAAUAAAUGGAGAAAGAGGGUUUGUUUGUUUUUUUUUUUUACUAGCUACCCAUCCCAGGGCUCAGCAGAGAGGUAGCAGACUGAAAUGCCCAGUCUUCCUGUGAAAGAGGCCUAUUAGCUUAUCUUCACAGCUGUGGGCUGAGGGCCCAGCUUCUAAUUAAACACAGAUCUAAGGGCUGAGUGUAAUCCUCUCCAGAGAUCUGGGAAGGCAGGCACGAUCUUCAUGCUCUCCCUCAGUCUCCCUCCAGGUUGCCUGUAUCUCCCGGAAUGGAGCUUGUGCACACAUCUGUGCUCUGAUUUUUGAUGGCUGCAGCACAGGGUACACCCCUCGAUUGCCUGGCUCUCGUGGCCAGCACGGCUUAAGUUUGCCAAUCGGACUGGACUGUAACAAACAGAGAAAUGUAACUGGGCAGGACCCUGUGAGGCCUUCCCAGAAUAGACCCCCGCCCAUGUCAUCCUCCUGCCUUUUGUCUACAGAAAAACUUCAGUCAAAGAAUAAAUUUAAUCAAAGAAGUGAGAAAAUGCAGAAAGGAAAACAGUCAAGCAAGACAAAAAUAAUACUUUAGCCAUUAAACAAAGUCAAGGACCUUUAGUUCUUCCUCAAGGGCUAUAAAUGAUAUUCUGAGCCAUGUCCUUUGAGCUGUUUUGUGAUACUGAAACCCCCAUCACGUGGAAGAAGUUAACUCUCUGCUGCCCACAAGCAUGUAGACCCCAGACUGGUUGGAACCAGAAGGUUGAUGAUGCUGACUCCCAAUUACCUCACCACCAACCAAUCAGAAGAAUGUCCAUGAGUUGAUCACACACCACAAACCCCCUCCCUCACCCUGUCUUUAUAAACCUUUCCCUGAAAGCCCUCAGGGAGUUCAGGUCUUUUAAGUACUAGCUGCCCUGGACUCCUUGCUUGGCGCCCUGCAAUAAAUGCUGCACUUUCCUUCAGCACAACCCAGUGUCAGCAGAUUGGCUACACCGCACACAAGCAAGCAGACCCAAGUUUGGUUCGGUAACAGAAACAGUUCUUACCUGGCUGCUCUUAAAAGAAACAGCACAGACGUAGCAGCAUGAAACACACCCCGAGGCUUUCUGUGAAAGAGGCCUAUUUGCUUAUCUUAAAGCUUCAGCCUGAGGGGCAGGCUUCUAACUUAACACAUUAUCUAGAGGUCUACUGAAAUACUCUCCAAAGAUCAGAAAGGCUGGCAGGUACCAACUUUGCACUAUCCCUCUGCCUCACUCCAUGUUGCUGGUAUCUCCCAGAAGGGAGCCUGUGCACACAUCUGGAGUCCCAGAUUUUGUGGUUGCUGCCCAGGGGAUGCCGCUUGAUUACCUGGCUCUGGUGGCCAGCAGGGCUUAUAUUCACAGGUUGUAUAGGAUUGUAGCAAAAGAAGAAAAUGUUCAUAACAAGCUACACCCUGCUCCUCCCAACAAUGGAGAGGUAGCUGACUGAAAAAGCCCAGUCUUUCUGUGAAAGAGAAACCAUAAAUUACUCAGCAAUGCAUUCACUGUAGGACACUGAUUUAGGGCAAGAUUAUUGGAAACACCUUUGCCAGUUCUUAUAGUCUUGGGAUUCUAGUCCAGGGGUUCUUGAGACCUUGGGGGUUGUUAUGGACUGAAUGUUUGUGUCUUCCCAAAAUUCUUAUGUUGAAAUCUAACCCUCAAUAUGAUGGUAUUUGGAGGUGGGACCUUUGGGAGAUUAUUAGGUCAUCAGGAUAGAGACCUCAUAAAUGGGAUGAAGGCGAUGAAGGGACCAGAGUGCCCUCUUUGGGCCACAUGAGAAUACAAGGAGAAGCUAACAGUCUGUAACCUGGAAGAUGGUCCUCACCAGAACUCAACCAUGCUAGCUAGCACCCUGAUGUGACUUCCAACCUCCAGAACUAAGAAAUGUUUUUGUAAGCCACCUAGUUUAUGGUAUUUUAUUAUAUCAGCCUGAGCUAGGACACGGGUUAUUUCUCUGGGAAUUAAGUCAAAUUUUAAAAAUCUGAUCCCUAGAAAAAUACACCUAGGCCCCAACAUGCAACUCCAUACAUACAACUUCUGAGAGUUCAAGGACCUCUGGGAACCUGUCCAAGGAAUCCCCAAAUUUCAGGUAAGGAGAUCAGCUCCUUACUUGUAACAGUCCAUUGGGCCACACUACACCCUGAUGACAGAGAGCUGGUAAAGCUGACUCAGAGUUCCACAUACACAGUCAUUACUCAAACUGCAACAACUUUAAACUGGACCCUUCAGGAAUAACAAUGAACCCUGUGCUUCAUCUCUUAUCAGUUCCCUGCCCAAACCCCUACCCCGUUGACCCACAUCUCUGUGUUAAAGUCAUCAAUCACAAACCUUCUUUUAAAGUCGUCCUAAAGAAGGUGGUCCC
ensembl:lncRNA